rnacentral:tRNA from 1 species
AUUUUGAUGGCCGAGAACUUAGGCGGGAGACUGUAAAUCUUCUUACGGGCAUUCCCUCAGAGUU